rnacentral:rRNA from 1 species
UACGUAGGGGGCAAGCGUUGUCCGGAAUCAUUGGGCGUAAAGCGCGUGUAGGCGGUCCGGUAAGUCCGCUGUGAAAGUCGGGGGCUCAACCCUCGGAUGCCGGUGGAUACUGUCGGGCUUGAGUACGGAAGAGGCGAGUGGAAUUCCUGGUGUAGCGGUGAAAUGCGCAGAUAUCGUAAGGAAGACCAGUGGCGAAGGCGGAGACCUGGGCCAAUACUGACGCUGAGGUGCGAAAGCGUGGGGAGCAAACAGG